GUGACAUUAAUGAGCUCCAGAGAAUCCUGACUUGAAGUUGUAAGUAUAAUUUCUAUAAUUCUAAGAUUGACAAAUGUGAAAGACAGCAAAGCUAAUCAAUCUCUUCCGAUAUUCCAUGGCUUCAACCUCCAUUUCCGUUACUUCAUUUUGCAGUACUUACGAUGUGUUCUUGAGUUUCAGAGGGAAGGAUGUAAUGAAAGGCUUCACUGGCCACCUCUGCGCUGCUUUGCGUCGGAGUGGAAUCAACACUUAUGUAGAGGAGGAAAAGAUGGAAGACACAGAGAAAAUUGGAGCAGCAUGCCUAAAUGGUAUCCAGAAGUCGAAAUUUUCACUAGUCCUUCUCUCAAAAGACUAUGCCUCUUCUACUUGGUGUCUGGAAGAGCUUGUCCAAAUCCUAAAGUAUAAAAAAGCAGAUGAUGUCUGGCCAAUUUUUUAUGAUGUAGAUACAUCUCAUGUUGAAGAGAUCCAAGGAAGCUAUAAAGAAGCAUUUGUGGAGCAUGAAAAGCAUUUCAAGGAAGAUGUCCUCCAGAAGUGGAAGGAUGCUCUCCGACAAGUUUCUACCUUGAAGGGUCUUGAUCUACCAAAGCGCUUGGAUGGGCAUGAGGCAAAAAAUAUUGAUCAUAUCGUUGAAGAGAUUUCAAGAAGACUAAAUCGAACAAUGCUCAAUGUUGCCAUCCACCCAAUUGGUUUACAAUCUCGAGCGGAAGGGAUGAUUUCUUUGAUGGCUAACGAGUUAGAAGACAUACGCAUAGUUGGGAUAUAUGGGAUGGGAGGUAUAGGUAAGUCAACCAUUGCAAAAGAGGUUUAUAAUUGUCUGUUCCAGACAUUUGAAAGCAGCUGCUUCCUUGAAAAUGUUAGAGAAGCGGCCCAUUUCAAGGGUAUACCCUACUUACAAAGGCAACUUCUGACUGAGACCUCUAAAAAAAAGCAUGAAAAGAUAUAUAAUCCUGAAAUAGGACUGAAUUUGAUCAUACAAAAACUACGUAACAAAAAGGUUCUUCUUGUAUUGGAUGAUGUUGAUAAACAGGAUCAAAUAAAUAAAAUACUAGGAAAAUGUGAUUGGUUUUCUCCAGGGAGUAGAGUGAUUAUAACUACUAGAAUGAAGGAUUUCCUAAAACCAUCUGAGAUGUAUUGGCAGUAUGAGGUUAACAAAAUGGGUGACAAUGAUUCUCUUCAGCUCCUAAGUUUACAUGCCUUUGGCAAAAACCAUCCCACUGAAGCCUACAUGGCUUGUGCUAAAAAAAUGGUUCACUAUUGCGGGGGAAUUCCUCUAGCUCUUGAAGUUCUGGGUUCUUCUUUGAGUGGCCAAAGUGUUGAUGUGUGGAAUAGCAGGUUGGAAAAACUGAAAGUGAUUGCCAAUGAAGAUAUUCACAGCAAGUUUAAAAUAAGUUAUGAUUCUCUUGGUGAUUUUGAAAAGUUUAUAUUUCUUGAUAUUGCAUGUUUC
rnacentral:misc_RNA from 1 species